rnacentral:lncRNA from 1 species
AGGAAAGAACCCUAAAAUCCAAGUCGAUUGGCGUGGAUUACCAAAAUUACCUCAAAAAAUCUAUUGAAUUACCUCUUUCUCAGGCGGAGGGAGAUGGGGCCGGCCGGUCGGCGCCGCAGAGGAGGAAGGAGGAGAGGAGGACGCGGACGGUCGCUCGGUGCCAGAGAGGAGGGAGGAGGAGAGGAGCUUGCCGUCGUACGUCGCUCGGCGCCGGAGAGGACAAGGGCCGCUCGCUCGUCGUCAGAGAGGACAAGGGCCGCUCGCUCGUCGUCGGAGAGAAGGGAGGAGGAGAAGGGGCUAGGGCUUGAUCGAUCGGUCGGAAUGCAAAAUGAGGAGAAGGGGGCCGGCCGCUUGGUUUUGGUUGUAAAUUUGACUUUGGACGACGCUUAUAAGCGUCGUCUUAGACUGUGAGUACGACGACGCUUAUUAGCGUCGGCUAUUCUUAAGAAUUACCGACGCUUAAUUAAAGCGUCGGUAAAUGUCAGCGGCGUUCCUG